rnacentral:rRNA from 1 species
UGAGGAAUAUUGCGCAAUGGGGGAAACCCUGACGCAGCGACGCCGCGUGAGUGAUGAAGGCCUUCGGGUUGUAAAGCUCUGUCAGAGGGAAAGAAAGGGGAUGCGGAAUAAUACCCUCAGCCAUUGACGGUACCCUCGGAGGAAGCACCGGCUAACUCCGUGCCAGCAGCCGCGGUAAUACGGAGGGUGCAAGUGUUAUUCGGAAUCACUGGGCGUAAAGAGCACGUAGGCGGAUGGGUAAGUCAGAUGUGAAAUCCCGGGGCUCAACUUCGGAACUGCAUUUGAUACUGGCCGUCUUGAGUGUGGUAGAGGGGGAUGGAAUUCCCGGUGUAGAGGUGAAAUUCGUAGAUAUCGGGAGGAACAGCAGAGGCGAAGGCGAUCCCCUGGGCCAUUACUGACGCUGAGGUGCGAAAGCGUGGGGAGCAAACAG